GAAUCUUCCACAAUGGGCGAAAGCCUGAUGGAGCAACGCCGCGUGAGCGAAGAAGGUCUUCGGAUCGUAAAGCUCUGUUGUAAGGGAAGAACAAGUGCAGUAGUAACUGACUGUACCUUGACGGUACCUUAUUAGAAAGCCACGGCUAACUACGUGCCAGCAGCCGCGGUAAUACGUAGGUGGCAAGCGUUGUCCGGAAUUAUUGGGCGUAAAGCGCGCGCAGGCGGUCCUUUAAGUCUGAUGUGAAAGCCCUCGGCUUAACCGAGGAGGGUCAUUGGAAACUGGAGGACUUGAGUGCAGAAGAGGAAAGCGGAAUUCCAUGUGUAGCGGUGAAAUGCGUAGAGAUAUGGAGGAACACCAGUGGCGAAGGCGGCUUUCUGGUCUGUAACUGACGCUGAGGCGCGAAAGCGUGGGGAGCAA
rnacentral:rRNA from 1 species